UGUUUUUCAGUGGUUUCUCUGGAAGCUCCUAUGCUUGUUACAAAAAACAGCAAAAAAAGUUCAUUUUUUUAAAAAAAUGUUGUUUUUUUAUUAAUCAUUGCUCUCAUCUUGGGGCAGGUUGAACAAGUGGCUGAGUUCAUAGCCUGGUGGAAAGGGCAAUUGGUACUGAAUGGCUCAGACUGGUCUCGUGGACAUCUUUUGGUUUUUGCAAAGCCCUUCAGAACACUUUGGGCUCCUUCCAAUUCAGGGUAGGAAAGGCUUUGAAAUGUUGCACUUCUGUGGGAUGAGGAAACUAUUUUCCACCAGACACUAGACGUCCGAAAAUAUGUUAGAAAACAGCCAAGGAAACUGGGAGAACAGCUAAGUCUUCAUGCGUCAUGCUUAGUUUUAGUGGGGUCAAGGAAUGGUUGGGCUUACUUCACAUCGGGGCUUUUAAUGCUGUGCCUGUGUUACUAAACGAGCUUAAUAGAUUGAGAUUUCAGUGAAGCAUUUUCAGUCAAAAACUUUUAUUCCAAAAAUUGAGCUGAGAGAUAUUUUUCUUUGGGAAUCAUUGGGACUUCAAGCUUGGAACAGAAGGAGAUGGACAUCCUAUCUAUCUGUACAUGAGCAGGAGGAAACAGAUGGCUGUGCUGAAAGGAGAGCGAGUGGCUGAGAAAAGUAAAUGUGCUGGGUGGUGCGGAACUAAGGGAGAAAUAGGAGUGAUCUGCAGUCAAUGAGAAGAGAGAAUGGAGGAGAGGAGAGUGAUGUCACUUCUAUGGCAAGCUAAAAACAAAUGCUGGAAGCCCAGGAGUUGAUCAGUUCCCAUCUGAACAGGGCCCUCUGAAAGAUGCCCAAUGCACGCACGGUACAUCCUGGUUUUCCAGAAGAGUGCCACAGAGUAUUGGAGCCUGCCCAGCUCUAUGCUCCUUGAGUAGAGGUCCAGCAGAUGGAAGGGGUGAGCCAGGUAAAACUUCUCCAUAAACACAAGCCCUUUUGUCAGAGGAGAGUGAGACUGCAUCUCCCAGAAAGAAAAUGGCCUGUGGGAUAGCAAAGAAGCCAGGGAGGAGUUCAGCCCCACCUGUGCACCCAGUUUAAUGCCAGGCUGCAUCCACCAAACCACAGCAAUUCAUUGGUAGAUCAGGUGUUGCCCUGAUAAAAGCCAGCAGGGUUUGCUGAUCCAACAUCAUAAAACAGCACACAUUGGCAGCAUUGUGCAUAACAUCUGAAAGCUCUGAAAAUAAGUACACGCAUCUUAACACAUAGAUAAUGUUUAAAUGCCAUCCCCCAAAACAGGAAAAAAAAAAAAAAAGUAAAAUGAAGUCAAAACUCUGGGUUUUAGCUAUUAAAUUUUCUCAUCUGUCUUUCACUUGUUUCCAGUUAUCUGUGGUCUUUUAACAGCUCAGGCAGCAGCACAGGUAAGCAACAGCAUUGUGCUGGCUUGGUAAGUGCAGACAGUUCGGUAUUAGGAGUAUCAUACAUCUGUUUCAGUGUUUGGCCCUGCUUUCUUUGCUGCGUGAGCUCCAGCUCAUGUAUGUCUGAUAAUCAGGAUUGUACUUAAAAUCUGAAAAUAUAUAUUAUACAUGGGCAUGGAUGUAUUGUGAUGCAUCACACAAACCAUAUAUCAUUUACCUGGCCGGCCAUAAGGCCUAGAACACUAAUCCCUCUAAGUGGUGACCUUACAGACUUCUGAUGUGACUUGUGGCUGGCUGACAGCUGUGCAUGAGAGCAAAACCUCUGCUCUCCCCCUCAAGCACUCCCUAGGAAACCUCCAGCAGCAGGAUGGGUGAGACAAAUGCUCUGUCUCGUAGAAUGGCUUGGGUUGGAAGGGACCUUAAAGAUCACUGAGCUCCAGCUCCCUGCUGUGGCCAGGGUUGCCAACCGCUAGAUCAAGCACCUCGGCUACCUCAUAAGUCUUGGUAAUACAGCUCAGAAAUGGCACUAAUCCCAGCAAGAGAUACACAGUACAAGUAACACUGGUAGCUGUGCGCAGUGAGAUGAACAGCACUGAUCAAAGGCCAUGAGAUAAUGACUGAUAGAGCUGUGCCGCCCUUUUACAGCCAGGAGGAGGGUAACUAUUUAAACUGUUCUCAAGAAGUGAACUUCAGUCCGUAAGGGAAAAUCUUCAAUAAAGUCUUACAAAAUAAAUCAUCUGUUUAAAGUUUCACACUGCCAUGAAUGAAAGUCUGAAGUCAAUAGCAGAUCUAUUGUUAGAAAGUACUCUACUUUAUAUGCCAUGACAUUUCCUUAUGAUGGUAUACCAGACAACCAUCUUCAAGAAGUCUAUGAGAGCAGAACAUGAGAGCAGUUUAGCUUCUAGUGGAACAUGUCUGAGGCACACUGCUCUAAGAAAAUGCACGUUCACAAGAUGACAUUUUGAAUGUUUGCGUAGCCCAUUCACACAGAAGGAGCAUUCAGUAGGAACGUUGUGGCAGGGCUGCUCAGGGUACAAAUCUCAUUUCAGUGCUUCCUUUUGGGACCAGCCCAGUUCUGUUAUGCUCCCCACCUGCCACUGCUGUAUCCAAGCACGGGAGAAGCAGCUCCGGGCUGAGGCUUGGCUCACUGGUAAAGGACAAAAGGCACAUCCCAGCCUGGGUAAGUCCAUCUGGAAAAUAGCUAGAAUAUGACCAGAGAUAAGUAGGUUAAAUGACCAGAACACCAUUAGAGCGUAUGAUCCUUAAUUACUACUUCCAGAACACUUUGAUGUCCUUAGGGAGGGAGCAUAUAAAGUUCAAAAUGAGUGCUUAAUAAGUGAGAUUUUCAAAAGCAUUUAAAUAGCAAAGGAGUUCCAGAGACCGCUAAGUUCCAUGGGGAGCUUUGAAAUUCCCCCUCAAGAUAAUAAUUGUACGUCCCACUAUUUGUUAAAAAGCCUUUCUUCUGCAGCGAUAGCCUGUAUUACGUAUACACAUUCUGUAGUCAUGUUUUUGUUCUCUGACUAACUGAAAGCAUAGCCUCAGUGUAUCUCUCUGCGUGUUGUGCAAUAGCAGAUUUGGAAUUUGCAUUUUUUAGAUUACCAGACAAUAAAAAAAAAAAAAAAUAGAGAUUGCGUAGAUAUGCGCCACCCUUCAUUAAAGGCAGUGAUAUUCUCUCCCACCCAGCCCUGCCUAACCAACACAGUAUUGCACAUAUGCCUCCAGACAAUGAGACUACCACACCUUUAGCUUCUAAUUAAAAUUAUUAAGUCGAGAAGGAAAGAAAUGCAUUUUAGUCUGUGCUUGUUAGCCAAAUGUCUCGAUAAAACUGAACAUGUUCUGCUGCUGCCCACCAUCUGUUCUUAUAAAUACUUAUUAAAAACACUGAAUGGGAAAAUAAAUUUGUCAUCACUGACUUUCAGGGAUUUACACCAACUCUGCCCUCAGCUUCGUCUCUAAUGCAGGCUAAUAAACAUCUGUGGAACACGAUACAUUUUUUCCCAUUAAAAAUAUUUUGCAUUUGACAAACUUCAGUAGAAAAGAUUCCAAACCAACGCACGUAUGAAGCUGAAUACAUAGAGGAAUGAGGCCAUCUUUAAUGAGGAUGGUAAUCUAAUGGGGCAAUCUUGCUUUUCCUCUCUUGACCCAUUCCUUACAUAUUCUCAGUCUUUGCACUGCUGAAGAAGUCAACUACCGCAGAAGCACUACACCUCCCUGCCUUUCAUGAAGAGGGGCUUCAGCUUUGAGGCAUCAAAAAAAAUCUUAUUAAUUUCCCUCCACUGGUGGAAAUUCAAAUAUUUUGCAUUAAUGAAUUAAAAAAUAAAUAAAAAAUCAGACUUAACCAUAGCACCCAGUCCAAUCAUGAUUCUUCAUCUAUUGCACCUGAUAGAGUGAAGAAAUCCCAGCUGAUGCAGUGCAGCUAUCAGUAAAUAGGGGUUGACAAGAAUGUCAGUGCUGUUUCUCUUGCAGACUUCCUAAUGAACUUUAGGUCUAAUCAUCAUUCCCAGGCUCUCAUCAGGCAAUUUAAUUAACUUGCCAUCAGUGUCUUCUGUUGAAGCAGAUAAAACAUUAUAGGUACAAUGUUAUGGCCAGGUGCGAUGACAAAGCCAGUAGUAUUUGGAAAAUGAAGGAAAAGGGGACUUUCCUGAGAACACUGCUCAUCUCUAGAACCAUCAUUCUUUAGUGCCUGAAAGACAGGUAAGUAUCCUUCUGCUUGCAGGAAAAAAUGUGAGCUCUGUUUGCAGAGUAAUUGUUGUUAAUUCAUAUUUUUCUUGGUAACUCUUCUCUCUUCCCACAGAUAGUCCUCCCAGUCAAGACACAGUUCCCAAGACAGAAGUGCCUUUACAAGAGAGAUGAAGGAAUGGUACUAGAUAUCAACAUUGUCGGGGUCAGAAGGGGCUCAUAGGUACAGGUACUAAAUUCCCUGGGGAUCUACUUCAGGUGGGACAGAGGCCAUGGAUUUUUUUCAGCAAUUUUUGGUGAGAAAGAGGCUGAGCCCGUGCUAUUGAAGUAAAUGCUGCUCAGCUGAUACCAAACCAGUUGUGGGCAGCUUAGUACUAAUCCCAUCAAAGACCAGCAGUGUUUAGGUGGUGCAAGGCUGGGACUACAUUGGGGCUGGUGCAGUACUGUAAGGAGAAGUCACACCUCCUCCUCAGGCAGGUGUUCUGCAUCCUGCCAGAAGGGGAAGGGAGAGCAAGGAGAGGGCUGAAAUAUAUCUCAUACCAACUGGAAGGGAGCGUGGUUGUUCUGAACUGCAGGGGCACAAGGCAGUCAAAAAGAACAGCAGCAUGUCUUGAAAUAAUAACAUGCAUUAUUAUUUUUAUAUAUCAUAUAUCAUGUAAUAUGCAAUAAAUUGUUUCUAGCAGACAGCAUGAACAAAGAGUGCCUUUUCCACCAUCUGCAAAUUCUCCCUAGAAACUGUUAGGAGUGGGCUUUCCCCUGCAAUUCCUGGUACCAUCCAUUUCAGGUUAGACUGGAAGUAUUGUGAAAGAGGCUGUCGUUGACUCGUUAACAAACCCAGCUCUUUCAGGCUUCUGACUCUCUCACAUUCAAAUCCACAAAACGUCUCUGUGCACUGAUGCAGAGGUGACCGGGGAUGUUAUCUUAUAAAAGACAUUAGAGUAGCUUCGAAAUUCAGAAAUGAAACUUUGCAUUAUCCCCAAGGCUGCUUAUAGGCCAGCCAAGGUGAGAACAAAGAGGAAAAAGUGAAGAUGGAAGUAGGCACUAGAUUACAACUGAGAUGUGUUUCUGUUUUUUCUCUGUGCAUUUGGUUGGUAUUCUGGUUUUUUUUUCCCCACUCUCUCCCUUAUUUUCAGUACGUACAAUAGUUAACUCUGUUGUAAGCUAGCCAAAACUUUCUGAAGGCAAUGGGAAGGAAUUACACUGGUUGCAAAUAUGCACUGGGUAUAUAUGGCCUUUUGUAAAUAGAAAAGCAUGAGAUGUUCCAAAUCCAACUUAAUAUACUUCAGUAGCUUCACUUUAUAUUUUGUUACUGUAGUAUACUGGAAUCUCAGAUUGUGUUUGGAGUAAAUAGUUGCUGACUAAAAAUCUCAGCAAGUACACACACAGAUUUGUUUCAAGAUUCUGAAAAGAAACAAACUGCUGUCCCCUUCUAAAAUCUCUGAAGUUUUGGAGUUCUUGCAGAUUUUCAUCCCAGAACCAAAAAGCAAGAAGCAAGUGCAGGAAAAGAGCAUGGAAGGAGAUUGACAUCUGUUUUCCCUUCACCGUCCUAAAGCAGCUCAGCAUCGGUUCCUGAGCAGCUGAGGAACCUCUGCUGUGGAGGCAAGAACCUUGGAGAGAAGGGCAGGGCACAUUUCCUGGCUAAAGUCAAAGGCACAAGGUGCUGGCCAACACUGAGAUGCCAAACUGGAGGCUGGUCCACCCACCAGAUCUCUAGGAUGUCUCUCGGAGAUUGUGCAGAUCCGAGCAGCAGCACAAAGCAUCGUGAAGUCAAAUGUAACAUUAAAAAUGCAUUCAGCAUGGUAAGUCAGCGUAUCCUUCUACCUAGAUUCCUUUGAAAAUCAGAGCUCAUCUGGGACAAGUAUGACUCCAUCAUGUAUGUGAGUAUAUAGCGAACACUGUUGAACUUGUUGGAGACCUUUAACGUUAUCAAAAUACAACUAAUAGUAAUUAAUAUUUACUUGUCAUAUAGCCUCUCCAAUGAAGAACUAAAAUCAAAAUUAUAACCCUUCUGGGAAUAUGCCAAAGCUGAAGGAAAAGCUAGAAGCACACUAUUCUGUAAUCAGGUCAACUUACCUCAUAGCACUUGCUGUAAAAAUAUGAAUUACGUUAUGUUCCUUUGGCAUUUCUGUGGUUGCCAAUUAUAUUCAAACAUUGUAAGGAGCCUUGCAAACAAUUUGGAUGGAUUCAUGGCUUGCAGUAAGAAUGGCUGUACCCACAGAGCAAGCCUGUGCCAUAGCAAACUCCUCUGCGUUGGUCCUGGCUACAUCCCAGCAGUACCACAAGGCAAGGCCUGGGGGUCACCAGCUCCUGCCUGAGGAAAGCCCACAAAGCAAAUAGAAAGGGAAAUACUGCAGAGCACAGCCCAUCAGCAGUGGGUGACAUGCAGCUGCAAGCACUUAGUCCCUCAGGAGCAGGAUUAACCAAAUCAGUGGUUCUUGGGACAAUGAUGAUGGACUUUGGGUUUAGUAGGGAAAGUGCUGGUGACAGGUAUAAUGGAAUCAUAGUUUAAAUAUAGGAGAACUACAUGCUAUUUCUCUUUUUCCUUUUUUUUUUUUUUUUAAUACAUCGGUAUGUAAAUGGAAAGUCUGGACUGCUGUUAUAGUUUAAUUUCUUCAAAUGGCUGGAGAUCCCAAAACUUUUUAUUUCUUCAGCUGCUUCAUAUACACAUUUGCACACACAACUUUGGAUGCUUGGUAUCUUUGAAAUUCAGGUCAUAUCCACUUGAUAGGCAUGUUUGGGCCUAAUUUUUACUUAUCUUUUAAAAAAUAAAUUUUGGUAAUAGUCUUCAGAAGUAGGAAAAUAGUGAGAAAUUUCUACUGUCAUGCAUGUUCUCACUUUACAGCCAAUCUGAAGUCUACAUGUUCAAAUAAAUCAGUGCUCAAGGACAUUGCUGUCUUCUUCAGGCUUAGGGAGUUAUGCCCAGGCCCAGGAGGUGUGUUUAGGUGCCUAAUGACCAGUGUAUUCCAUAGAUGUUUAAAUAUUAUCACUUAACCAGGACCUGCAUCCAUCUCUGGGCAGAAACAGACAGGAAAUUUUUUAUAUCUAUCUAUCUAUCUAUCUAUUUUUAUAUCUAUUGAGGUAGACAAAAACUUCUACUUGGGACCCUUCUCAGCACUGCUGCAAGGUACAGGGUGGGGUGGAUAGGACGAAAGGGUUCAUCAGCUGGGAUUGCCUCCCACAGCCAAACAGGGCCACAGCUCUCAGGCUGCUCAGGACAUGCACAGAACAAAACCUGCAGCAGCAUGUGCCCAGGAGAGCUCUGCUGUUUCCAAACACGCUGCAACAGCUGCAGAUGCCGCCCAGACACAGCACAGUGCCCAUCUUGCUCCCUUACCACAUGGUACGGACCCUGCUGCUUCUUGAAACUGCCCACGUGCUUGUACAAACCUGUACUUUGCAAAUGCUCACACACGGUGCAUGCAUGAAUUAUUCCCAGGUAUCUGUAAAAUUUAGUUUUGAAAACUGUAAAAUAAUGGCCUGACAACAAGCUGGUCAUAUUUUCCAUGGUUCAUUUACCUCAAACAAACUGAAGGAUCAGCAAAUGUUUUGUAUUAACUUAUUGUUGAGCCAUCCUUGAUUAAGAAAUCGGUUCUUCCUGAAACUUUAUCUGGGAGUGGUCAGGUCUCCACACAGCAUUUCUGCUGCUUUCCUGAGCAAUGGAAGGACCGACACCAGCAAAGAUGGACAACACUUGAGUACUGCCAUCUGUGAUACAAUCAACAGAGCCCCACAGCACUGUUGUUUGGAUCAUUUGGUGCCCAGUUCUGCUCCCACCGAGUUCACAAGAGUUUGUGAUGGGGCAUGUUCAGGCUUCCAGUGUAUUAGUAAUAAUGCUAAUGAUAUUGUAUGCUUUGCCUGCAUUACAGUCUGGUGCUUAGAAAAUAAACAUCUCGGCUUUGCCUCAGUGUUUAUCUCCAAUAAAUACCUCAGCUUUGCCUCAACAAUUAUCUCUUCACAGCAGACCAUUAUCCAGCAGCAACAUAUAAUUCCAUUAACAUUACCGUUUAAAAUAUAUCCUCUCCG
ensembl:lncRNA